AGAGUUUGAUCCUGGCUCAGGACGAACGCUGGCGGCGUGCCUAAUACAUGCAAGUCGAACGAGAGCGACCGGUGCUUGCACUGGUCAAUCUAGUGGCGAACGGGUGAGUAACACGUGGGUAACCUGCCCAUCAGAGGGGGAUAACAUUCGGAAACGGAUGCUAAAACCGCAUAGGUUCUUUAGUCGCAUGACUGAAGAAGGAAAAGAGGCUUCGGCUUCUGCUGAUGGAUGGACCCGCGGUGCAUUAGCUAGUUGGUGAGGUAACGGCUCACCAAGGCCGUGAUGCAUAGCCGACCUGAGAGGGUGAUCGGCCACAUUGGGACUGAGACACGGCCCAAACUCCUACGGGAGGCAGCAGUAGGGAAUCUUCCGCAAUGGACGCAAGUCUGACGGAGCAACGCCGCGUGAGUGAAGAAGGAUUUCGGUUCGUAAAACUCUGUUGUUAGAGAAGAACAGCGCAUAGAGUAACUGUUAUGCGUGUGACGGUAUCUAACCAGAAAGCCACGGCUAACUACGUGCCAGCAGCCGCGGUAAUACGUAGGUGGCAAGCGUUGUCCGGAUUUAUUGGGCGUAAAGCGAGCGCAGGCGGUCAAUUAAGUCUGAUGUGAAAGCCCCCGGCUCAACCGGGGAGGGUCAUUGGAAACUGGUUGACUUGAGUGCAGAAGAGGAGAGUGGAAUUCCAUGUGUAGCGGUGAAAUGCGUAGAUAUAUGGAGGAACACCAGUGGCGAAGGCGACUCUCUGGUCUGUAACUGACGCUGAGGCUCGAAAGCGUGGGUAGCAAACAGGAUUAGAUACCCUGGUAGUCCACGCCGUAAACGAUGAGUGCUAAGUGUUGGAGGGUUUCCGCCCUUCAGUGCUGCAGUUAACGCAUUAAGCACUCCGCCUGGGGAGUACGACCGCAAGGUUGAAACUCAAAG
rnacentral:rRNA from 1 species